AAUGACAAAGCCAAAAAUUCAGGCCUUGCCCAAGCUGCCAAGUCCGUCAGCAGGCCAACCGCAAAACAUGCAGUGCUUGUUUUGCCACACUGCCAAGCAAGCGGUUAUUAAAAACUGCAAAAAUUAAUGAUGACUGGGGCCAGAGGGUCGUCAAAAACAAAAAUGCAUCUCGGGUGGUGGCCUCUGCCCAAAUAGCUGUCCAAAAAAACUUUCUGCCUUGGGCUAUAUGCCCAUAUUAUUUAUCAGCCAGAGGCACAAGGGCACAGGCAAGUUGAUGGCAGAUGUAGUCACGCAUCUGCCACCGACGCAAAACAACACACGUUUCUUAACCAGCAUGAAGAGGGCAUAUGACUUCAUAAUCAAACUGGAUGAUGUGCCCCAGCCCCAGCCCCAGCAAGACCAGCCCCUGCCCCUAGACCGGCUAAUCCCACAAGACCAGCCCCUAGACCAGCCCCUGCCCCUAGACCAGCCCCAGCAAGACCAGCCCCUGCCCCUAGACCAGCUAAUCCCACAAGACCAGCCUACCCCAACAGACCAGCAAAUUAUUACACUUGAACUAUUUACGAUCGACUCUCAGGCUCAGCAGCAUGUGGAGCCUCUACCACCCAGGAAAAGACAAACCCCACUAUCCACCCCGCGCCUACCAUCCACCCCAGGCCAAGGCAGACGAGCCCCACCAUCCAUCCAACCUCAACUAAAGAAAAGACAAACCACAGGUAAAGGAGCCACACAGGCCCCACCCUCUACCCUGGCCAAAAAGAAGAAAACAAAAAGUUGCAAAUGCAGUCGACAGACAAUUUAUCCAUACGAUAAAAUAUUGGGAAGACGGAUGAAUGGGGGGAAGGCAGCAGAGGUCAAAGUGCACUGGCUACCUUGCUCUUCCUGGUAAGUGAUGGCUGAUGUAAUUUAAUCCAUAGUUGCACACAGUCUUAGUGUUUUAAAACCUGGUCCCUUUCAGCCUUCAAAGUGAACUUUGAAGUGAAAGUGAAAGUGGGACUGAUAAUUGUUUUGGGCACAAGGAACUAUCUAAGCAUUCUAGGAUCCCUUUUAAAGUGAACUGAACUGAGACCGCAUGAGAACGUGCACACCAGCCUUCAAGUAGUCAUCUGGCUCAAGUUUGGUCAUAUGACAUCUGAAGCAAAUACAUUCUAACCUGUUUGCCCUAUACAUUUGCUAAUUCUAUUUUGUUUAUUUGGGUUAUUUUAUACAGUGUUUGCCAAACAGCAGUUAUUUUUACAAAGUGAAACCUCCCAUUAUGAACCAAAUGUAGUCCAAUUUAAAUGGCCUGUGAGGUGGACUGAACCAAAAACAACUCUUGUCUCUUUGUGUUCACAUAAUGAGUUCACUUAAAGAUGAUGCAGAUCACUUUCUAGUCCACUUCAGCUCUGAUGGGGUCUUAAGCCCAAUUCAUAGUUACAUGUAGAUGCGACGCAGAUGCCUUUGUUGUGCCAUUGCAUCUUUGCUGACCCCCUCUGCGGCCGACAUAGAGGCCUUUAACCACAUCAGUUCUGUGCCCAUCCCGUUGUGGUGAGUAUUUGCAUAGCGACAUGGUUAACCCGAUGCAGAACUUCAAAGUGUUGACUGUAGGGAUGACUGUGUCUGCAACAAAAUGACUGCUGCUUGACAAACGCCAUAUAAAAUAAACCAAAAGAAAUUAUCCAACAGAAAAAGGGUAAACCUUUAUUUUUCAGCUUCAGAUGACAUAUCUUCAAACUUGAGCCAGAAGACUAGUUGUGAGCUGUAGGCUGUACUGUAUAUGCUGUGUGUAAGAUGACUUUUGGACUAUUUACAGUGGCAGAGUCUGGGAGGACACCUGGGAGCCGGCCAGCAAAUUCGCCUGAUGACCAAUACUGUUGUACUAUUUGUUUUGUAUAUAUUUGUCAAUAAUUAAAUUCACUAUUGUUACAUUUUAUGAUUUGUCUGUCAAUCAAUGACUGCACUGAAUAAUUAAUGUGUCAUGACUUUGUGCUGUAUUUGAUGGGAAAAGUGAGAUAGCUGAAAGUUGC
ensembl:lncRNA